AGUAACACGUGGGUAACCUGCCCUUAAGUGGGGGAUAACAUUUGGAAACAGAUGCUAAUACCGCAUAAAUCCAAGAACCGCAUGGUUCUUGGCUGAAAGAUGGCGUAAGCUAUCGCUUUUGGAUGGACCCGCGGCGUAUUAGCUAGUUGGUGAGGUAACGGCUCACCAAGGCAAUGAUACGUAGCCGAACUGAGAGGUUGAUCGGCCACAUUGGGACUGAGACACGGCCCAGACUCCUACGGGAGGCAGCAUG
rnacentral:rRNA from 1 species